rnacentral:lncRNA from 1 species
GUGUGGGCAUAAAGCGACUGUGUAUUUUUCUUCCACUAGUUAUCAGCGCACGAAAGAAAAAUUGUGCAAGAUUAUUGCACCGGCAAGGCUGGAUGUCGUGGCUGGUGCAAGCACUGCGCGGCGCUGGCCCUGUAUGUCAGCAACCAACAACACACGUCGUGUACUGACCUGCCGUGUGCGUGGCAGAAGCCAUCGACCCGCCCAACGCUUGACACAAAGAAGUCCAUCAGUGAACUAUUCCCGAGUAAUCCCAUCAUAAAGCCGAUCCUGAGGCCCCUCAUCCCGACUGUCGUGCACAGCCAGUUUCCCGACGUGAACUGCGCUCACAGAUGGCACACAGAACGCCGUUUGCGGAUAACAAGCAGCAGUGCACAUCGCGUCAAAACCGGGCUCAACAACUAUGAAACUCUGGCAAGUUCCCUUGCGAGGCCAAGGUUCUUUUCAUCUGCUGCAACUUCUUACGGUAAGCUAGAAUUCAAAAAUAGGCUAGGUAAUGUAGGCACUGUGCUAAAUCG